rnacentral:tRNA from 1 species
GGGGCUGGGGCUUAGUGGUACAGCACUCGCCUGACAUGCGUGAGGCAAUGGGUUCUACCCUCAGUACCA